CAGCUCGUGUCGUGAGAUGUUGGUUAAGUCCCGCAACGAGCGCAACCCUCGACCUUAGUUGCCAGCAUUCAGUUGGGCACUCUAAGGUGACUGCCGGCUAAAAGUCGGAGGAAGGUGGGGAUGACGUCAAAUCAUCAUGCCCCUUAUGACCUGGGCUACACACGUGCUACAAUGGGCGGUACAAAGGGUCGCGAACCCGCGAGGGGGAGCCAAUCCCAAAAAGCCGCACUCAGUUCGGAUUGCAGGCUGCAACUCGCCUGCAUGAAGCCGGAAUCGCUAGUAAUCGCGGAUCAGCAUGCCGCGGUGAAUACGUUCCCGGGCCUU
rnacentral:rRNA from 1 species